GAACAUAUAUUCAGCCCCUUGAUUGCUAUAGCAGCACAUUAUCCCACCCUCAUAUUCCAAGCACUGUCUCUAGCUAAAAAGCUUGUUGAAGAACAUGAAAGUAAAAGAUUUCUUCAAGAUGAUUUAUUGCCGAGAAAUUAGAAGAGGUUGUCACUGUGUCAGGAAAUCAACUUAAAAAGACAAUCCUUUUGAUGCAACUGCAUGUACUGUGUGCAUGAUAAGUUUAUUUUCAAGUAGCUAGAAAUAGCAAUUUUACUCAC